UAAAGAUGCACAUUGAUAUUGUUGCAAGAAGACUUGAGAACUACUCUUGAGCAACACAAGACUAUUUUUAAAAGAAAAAAAGAAGAUAUUCUCAACAUUCUACCCAGCUGGGCUAAAACUUCAGGUUCUGACCCCCAGCUAGAGUGACCACAGAAUGGGAAGAACCAAAGCUCUAACCAUCAUGGGCUAGAUGUUGCUGAGUUUCCUGAUGAUGCUGCCUUCCCUAGGAUGCUGCCACAGAUGUCCUAGAAAUGCCAAAGCAGUGCUGUGGCCUGUUAUUACAUUGAAGAUCCAGAAGCACCUACUUUUCAUACAUUCUUCCAAGACCAAGCUGAUGUGAAGAGGGAGCAUGCAAAGCAGUUCAUAAAAUAUCUAAGAAAAUAUAAGUGUAAAAUCUGCCUUCCGGUGAUUAAGAGGCCUGAUAUAGAUAACUGGGGAACUGGUAAACAAGCUCUACUGUCUGCUCUGCAGUUGGAGAAUGAGUUAAACAAGCUCCUGCAAGACCUGAAGGCCUCAGCUUCUAGGAACAGAGAAACCAAUCUCUUACGCUUCAUGAAAAAGUUCCUGGAUGAACAGACCAGGAACAUAAAAUAUCUGGAAUACCAGCUUAACUAUCAGAAGGAGUUGGAAAUGUCAACCCAGAGUGAAGGACAGCCUGAAAAUGCCCCCGGAACAUCUGCAGCAGCAGGUCAAGAGACAGAAUCUACAGGCAACUCUCCAAGUCCUCCUGCCCAGAAGGUCCCAAAGUCAUCUCCUUAAGAAUCCUGAUCUCCAUUUGACAGAAGUAUGCUUCUCUUUUCAUCUCAGAUCCUAAUCCUCCUGUUGUACAUGCAAAUAAAUGUGUUUUGCAUUAUG
rnacentral:lncRNA from 1 species